UCCUCUGUGGCUUAGUUGGUUAAAGCGCCGGAGUAGCGAUAACGGAGUCGUGGGUUUGAAUCCCACCAAAACAA
rfam:Aedes albopictus isolate Foshan contig94663, whole genome shotgun sequence.